UACGGAGGGUGCAAGCGUUAAUCGGAAUUACUGGGCGUAAAGCGUGCGCAGGCGGUUAUGUAAGACAGUUGUGAAAUCCCCGGGCUCAACCUGGGAACUGCAUCUGUGACUGCAUAGCUAGAGUACGGUAGAGGGGGAUGGAAUUCCGCGUGUAGCAGUGAAAUGCGUAGAUAUGCGGAGGAACACCGAUGGCGAAGGCAAUCCCCUGGACCUGUACUGACGCUCAUGCACGAAAGCGUGGGGAGCAAACAGG
rnacentral:rRNA from 1 species